CCUCCCCACAACCAUGAGUAGAUCUGCGUAGAGUAGGCUGCUGCGCACUAGGCCGCCACACAAGACACUUGGCAUCACCCGGGUUGGGAGUAAUGAGCACGGGGAGGGAGAGAGAGAGAGAGCCGAGGGAGGAGUCCUAGCGCCGGGGUUCGUCUCUGAAGAGGUCAAAUGGCGUUCCGGAGGGAAGAUCUCAUUUACAUCAGCCGCCCCACGACGUGCUGGAGAGGUUCCGCCUCGCCUUCCUCACAGGAGGUACUGCAAACCCUACCGCGUUCAUCGCCAAACUUUUAAAGCAGUUAUCCUAAUCACUGCGUGGAGCCGGCGUCGCCUUCUUCCCACCAGUGACUUCAAUGGUGCAGAUUAUCCUAAGAAAUGAGCCCCAUGUUCCACCGCAUUUAUCACAAACUUU